rnacentral:rRNA from 1 species
GAGUUUGAUCAUGGCUCAGGACGAACGCUGGCGGCACGCCUAACACAUGCAAGUCGAACGGAGAUAUUUUGGUUUACUGAGAUAUCUUAGUGGCGGACGGGUGAGUAACACGUGAGCAACCUGCCUCUGAGAGAGGGAUAGCUUCUGGAAACGGAUGGUAAUACCUCACAACAUAACGAAGCCGCAUGACUUUGUUAUCAAAGAUUUAUCACUCAGAGAUGGGCUCGCGUCUGAUUAGAUAGUUGGUGAGGUAACGGCCCACCAAGUCGACGAUCAGUAGCCGGACUGAGAGGUUGAACGGCCACAUUGGGACUGAGACACGGCCCAGACUCCUACGGGAGGCAGCAGUGGGGAAUAUUGCACAAUGGGGGAAACCCUGAUGCAGCGAUGCCGCGUGGAGGAAGAAGGUUUUCGGAUUGUAAACUCCUGUCUUAAAGGACGAUAAUGACGGUACUUUAGGAGGAAGCUCCGGCUAACUACGUGCCAGCAGCCGCGGUAAUACGUAGGGAGCGAGCGUUGUCCGGAAUUACUGGGUGUAAAGGGAGCGUAGGCGGGAUGGCAAGUCAGAUGUGAAAACUAUGGGCUCAACCCAUAGACUGCAUUUGAAACUGUUGUUCUUGAGUGAAGUAGAGGUAAGCGGAAUUCCUGGUGUAGCGGUGAAAUGCGUAGAUAUCAGGAGGAACAUCGGUGGCGAAGCGGCUUACUGGGCUUUUACUGACGCUGAGGCUCGAAAGCGUGGGGAGCAAACAGGAUUAGAUACCUGGUAGUCCACGCUGUAAACGAUGAUUACUAGUGUGGGGGGACUGACCCCUUYCCGUGCCGMAGUUACACGAUAAGUAAUCCMMCUGGGGARUACGGCCGCAAGGUUGAAYUCAAUGAAUKGMCGG